rnacentral:rRNA from 1 species
UAAGACAUGCAAGUCGUGCGACAGACCAGGAAUUGAUUACUUCGGUUUGAUUUUCCUGACGAUGAGCGGCGAACGGGUGCGUAACACGUGAGAAACCUGCCUUAAAGUUCGGGAUAGCUCGGCGAAAGUCGAAUUAAUACCGGAUGUGGCCUUAGGAUAGCAUUUUCCUCAGGUUAAAGCUCGGUCAAAGAGCGCUUUUAGAUGGUCUCGCGGUCUAUCAGCUUGUUGGUGAGGUAACGGCUCACCAAGGCUACGACGGAUAACUGAUCUGAGAGGAUGAUCAGUCACACUGGAACUGAGACACGGUCCAGACACCUACGGGUGGCAGCAGUCGAGAAUCAUUCACAAUGGGCGCAAGCCUGAUGGUGCGACGCCGCGUGGGGGAUGAAGGGCUUCGGUCUGUAAACCCCUGUCAUCUGUGAGUAAGGUCUCGUAUAAAAGCUACGAGAAUUGAUAUUAACAGAAGAGGAAGGGACGGCUAACUCUGUGCCAGCAGCCGCGGUAAUACAGAGGUCCCAAGCGUUGUUCGGAUUUACUGGGCGUAAAGAGUGCGUAGGCGGUCAGAAAAGUUUGGUGUGAAAUCUUCGGGCUUAACCCGGAAACUGCACUGAAAACUAUUUGACUAGAGGAUCGGAGAGGAGAUUGGAAUUCUCAGUGUAGCAGUGAAAUGCGUAGAUAUUGAGAGGAACACCAGUUGCGAAGGCGGAUCUCUGGACGAUUCCUGACGCUGAGGCACGAAAGCUGGGGGAGCGAAGAGGAUUAGAUACCCUCGUAGUCCCAGCCGUAAACGGUGCUCACUUGCUGUGGGCGGAUUCGACCCCGUCCGUGGCGAAGCUAACGCGUUAAGUGAGCCGCCUGGGGAGUACGGUC